GAGGGUAUAGCUCAAGUGGCAAAAUGUGUGCUUAGCAUGCACAAGGUUCUGGGUUAAAUCCCCAUUACCCCCG
rnacentral:tRNA from 1 species